UGCAAAUGUAUUUAUAACCAAGAGAGAUAGUCACCUUCCACCCCAAUUAGCCUUUGCAUUGAUUUACUGAAGAAAAACAUCUAUUACUGAAAAAAGUCUUACAGAUUAGUGUUGCAUUAUUUUGUUACAGUUGGAAUAUGUAGGGAAAGUGAUCUUGAAGAGGAUACACUUUAGUCUAACCAAAAAUGUAUUUUCCCAAUAGUUAAAAAAAAGAUACAUCAUUGAGGAUGCAGCUCUGGUUCAGAAUACAGUUUUUUCCCCCUUAAAGCUAUCUGCUUAGUUAUUUGAAUAUUUUCUAAUAAUGAGCUUGUGUCACAUUUUAGAUCUUUAAAAAGAGAUUUAUUCAUGAACUGUUGCUUGGAUAAAGCCAUUGAUCUACCAAUAAAGAAAAAUCCCAUUUCUCAAUUUCUUUGUGAGAAUAUAAUUAUGGUUAGAACUGAAGUCUUUUUUUUCUUUCUUUUUUUUAGUGAAAAGGCUUACUGCCUCCUGAAAUACAUUUUUGUACCCUCUAAAGAUUGGAACUGCAACCGUGACUUUUUUCCUGCCGAGAAAAACCUACCAGCAAUGACUGUAUAAACAUCCUGAUUGCAAAUGUGACAAAGAAACACUGGCACAACUUAGCAUUUCCUAAUAAAAGAAACAUUGAUGCUUGCUUUCUGUUUGCCUUUCUUCCUGUGCCACAUCCUUCAUAACUGCAAAGAUAACUUGCAGGGAGAAGCUGAGAUCUGGGAAUCUUCUGAUUGUGUCAUGUUGAGCAGGGGGAAGAAUUAUGGUGAGUGCCAUGAGUUUUCCUUCCCUCUUUGAGCUUGCCUGCUGUAUAGAAGUCUAUUAAUUGGCUUCUAGGUCUCUCACAAAGGGAAUUGGUUCCUGUAUUAUUGUUGGGUCAGUGUCUCCCUGAGGGGAAAGAGAGUAUUGGACUUCCUGCUCUGCUCUCGAUUAUUCUUACUCUUGAUUCUCUUAUUGUUUAAUACAUCACUGUCUUAAUUAGAGUAACAUAUCCAGUAGUGUAAGUUUUCCAAUUUUUUUUAAUGAAGUCAGAGCUAUUAUUAAUCUUUUAAC